GCCAGCGAGGCGUAGUGGUUUGGGUGUUGGAUUACGACUCGGGAGACCAGGGUUCGAAUCCUGGCUUGGCC